ACUCAAAUGGUCAAGUGGUCAAGAUGCCUUGAAAUUAUAAACUCGGCAAAGGGUUUCGAUAUUUCAAGAGGCGGAGGUUCGAUUCCUCCUUUGAGUA